CCUACGGGGGGCUGCAGUGGGGAAUAUUGGACAAUGGGGGGAACCCUGAUCCAGCCAUGCCGCGUGUGUGAAGAAGGCCCUCGGGUUGUAAAGCACUUUCAGUGAGGAAGAACGCCUGGUGGUUAAUACCCAUCAGGAAAGACAUCACUCACAGAAGAAGCACCGGCUAACUCCGUGCCAGCAGCCGCGGUAAUACGGAGGGUGCGAGCGUUAAUCGGAAUUACUGGGCGUAAAGCGCGCGUAGGUGGCUUGAUAAGCCGGUUGUGAAAGCCCCGGGCUCAACCUGAGAACGGCAUCCGGAACUGUCAAGCUAGAGUGCAGGAGAGGAAGGUAGAAUUCCCGGUGUAGCGGUGAAAUGCGUAGAGAUCGGGAGGAAUACCAGUGGCGAAGGCGGCCUUCUGGACUGACACUGACACUGAGGUGCGAAAGCGUGGGUAGCAAACAGGAUUAGAUACCCUGGUAGUC
rnacentral:rRNA from 1 species